AUAAACGAGAGUGUCAACAUUCAUACAUUAAAAAUUACAUAAGGCCCCUGAUUUCGUGAGGUACCUUCCUGACACCAGUGUAGACUACAGAGAUUUAAUUUAGGAAAGUUUUUUUUUUUUUAAUUCUUUUCAAGGUUAACAGUAUUUUUAUUUUAUUUAAAAAAUUUAUUAUUGGAGUAUAAUUGCUUUACGAUGUUGUAUUAGUGUCUGCUAUACAACGAAGCCAAUCAGCUGUAUGUAUACAGAUAUCCCCUCCCCCUGGAUCUCCCAUCCCACUCCUCUAGGUCAUCGCAGAGCCCUGAGCUGAGCUCCCUGCUUCCCAUUAGCUGUUUUACACACGGUAACGUAUAUAGGUCAAUGGCUACUCUUAAUUCAGCAAAGUUGAAUCAUAUGUUAAAUGUCUCUACACUGAUGCAGUGCAAAAACGAAUCUACUGCAGCAAAACAGAGCACACGGAUAUUACUUUUCAAACGUAUGCCAGGGCAUGUGAAAACACACACCCCCCCAGGGGUUACUGAUUUGUUCAAGGUCACGCUGUUUUAGAAUUCCCAAGAACUGGUGCCCUGCCCUUGGAGGCUGUGCCUCUUUCAGUUUCACGGUGAAACUGUUGGCCAGGCAGCCAACAUUUAUCAAAGACCCUACAGAUUCUUAUGGUCAAUUUGGGGGGAAAAAAAAGAAAAAAUCCCACAUUCGAUGAAAACUCAGUUCGUGGCAGUGUUUAACACGCCCUUAAUCAUGGUUUCCUGGUGACUUGUCAGCAUGUCCUUCUGAGUGGCCACAGGGUGCAAUCCACAGAGCUCUGUGGAGCCUCAAAACAAAGAAGUGCAUGACAAAAGGCACCCCUCCUUAGCUGAACUAGACAUGUUUGUUUUCCUUGAAAGUUUAGCCUGGGAAGGACAACAGGCAAGCAAACUGAUCUGCGAGAUUAAAGGAGAAAAGCCCAGAAGACACUGGAUCAGCUAAUGAUGAAGAGCUGAAUAUACUCCUGCUCACUUUCCGAAGGUCGAUUCUCUACAUCUGUGUCUCUAUUCCUGCCCUGCAGACACGAAGACCACCCCAUGGAUCCAGCUCAGAGGCCUCAGGUGUUACCACGCUCCGUAAGGCUCCGCAUUAA